CUGCAGCCUCUCUCUCCAGUCCUCGGUAGACGGGACACAAGGAAGGACUCGCGGGGUGCAGGAUGUGACCUAAUUGCUGAAUGUGAUGGGACUAAUUCUCUAACAGUUUGAGGACCCUCUGAGACAUGAGGUACAGGAGAAGACCCCUGCGGCCUGCUGGGUGUCCUCGCCAUCCUGACCUGCUGGUGUCCUCGCCAUCCUGACCUUCAGCAUCGCUACAUCAACAUAAUGUCUGAGCUGCAGUAAAGGACGUCCUCCGGUCCCAGACCUCAGCCGGACUUCAGCAGAGGUCGUGGUGAUGAUGGACGAAACGUGAGCCAUGUGCUGGUGACAGUGGUCUGAGCUGCAGUAAAGGACGUCCUCCGGUCCCAGACCUCAGCCGGACUUCAGCAGAGAUUCCUGAACCUUCCAGGAGACAUGAGUCAGCUGCUUUUCACUAGGCAGCUGAACGGUGCAGAGCAAUUGGUCACUUUGGAAGCAUCUGUUGUACUGCACAUUUACUCCAACAUUUACUUCAACAAAUAAAAUGUAUAAACCUUC